ACUAAGCGUACACGGUGGAUGCCCUGGCAGUCAGAGGCGAUGAAGGACGUGCUAAUCUGCGAUAAGCGUCGGUAAGGUGAUAUGAACCGUUAUAACCGGCGAUUUCCGAAUGGGGAAACCCAGUGUGUUUCGACACACUAUCAUUAACUGAAUCCAUAGGUUAAUGAGGCGAACCGGGGGAACUGAAACAUCUAAGUACCCCGAGGAAAAGAAAUCAACCGAGAUUCCCCCAGUAGCGGCGAGCGAACGGGGAGCAGCCCAGAGCCUGAAUCAGUGUGUGUGUUAGUGGAAGCGUCUGGAAAGGCGCGCGAUACAGGGUGACAGCCCCGUACACAAAAAUGCACAUGCUGUGAGCUCGAUGAGUAGGGCGGGACACGUGGUAUCCUGUCUGAAUAUGGGGGGACCAUCCUCCAAGGCUAAAUACUCCUGACUGACCGAUAGUGAACCAGUACCGUGAGGGAAAGGCGAAAAGAACCCCGGCGAGGGGAGUGAAAAAGAACCUGAAACCGUGUACGUACAAGCAGUGGGAGCACGCUUAGGCGUGUGACUGCGUACCUUUUGUAUAAUGGGUCAGCGACUUAUAUUCUGUAGCAAGGUUAACCGAAUAGGGGAGCCGAAGGGAAACCGAGUCUUAACUGGGCGUUAAGUUGCAGGGUAUAGACCCGAAACCCGGUGAUCUAGCCAUGGGCAGGUUGAAGGUUGGGUAACACUAACUGGAGGACCGAACCGACUAAUGUUGAAAAAUUAGCGGAUGACUUGUGGCUGGGGGUGAAAGGCCAAUCAAACCGGGAGAUAGCUGGUUCUCCCCGAAAGCUAUUUAGGUAGCGCCUCGUGAAUUCAUCUCCGGGGGUAGAGCACUGUUUCGGCAAGGGGGUCAUCCCGACUUACCAACCCGAUGCAAACUGCGAAUACCGGAGAAUGUUAUCACGGGAGACACACGGCGGGUGCUAACGUCCGUCGUGAAGAGGGAAACAACCCAGACCGCCAGCUAAGGUCCCAAAGUCAUGGUUAAGUGGGAAACGAUGUGGGAAGGCCCAGACAGCCAGGAUGUUGGCUUAGAAGCAGCCAUCAUUUAAAGAAAGCGUAAUAGCUCACUGGUCGAGUCGGCCUGCGCGGAAGAUGUAACGGGGCUAAACCAUGCACCGAAGCUGCGGCAGCGACGCUUAUGCGUUGUUGGGUAGGGGAGCGUUCUGUAAGCCUGCGAAGGUGUGCUGUGAGGCAUGCUGGAGGUAUCAGAAGUGCGAAUGCUGACAUAAGUAACGAUAAAGCGGGUGAAAAGCCCGCUCGCCGGAAGACCAAGGGUUCCUGUCCAACGUUAAUCGGGGCAGGGUGAGUCGACCCCUAAGGCGAGGCCGAAAGGCGUAGUCGAUGGGAAACAGGUUAAUAUUCCUGUACUUGGUGUUACUGCGAAGGGGGGACGGAGAAGGCUAUGUUGGCCGGGCGACGGUUGUCCCGGUUUAAGCGUGUAGGCUGGUUUUCCAGGCAAAUCCGGAAAAUCAAGGCUGAGGCGUGAUGACGAGGCACUACGGUGCUGAAGCAACAAAUGCCCUGCUUCCAGGAAAAGCCUCUAAGCAUCAGGUAACAUCAAAUCGUACCCCAAACCGACACAGGUGGUCAGGUAGAGAAUACCAAGGCGCUUGAGAGAACUCGGGUGAAGGAACUAGGCAAAAUGGUGCCGUAACUUCGGGAGAAGGCACGCUGAUAUGUAGGUGAAGUCCCUCGCGGAUGGAGCUGAAAUCAGUCGAAGAUACCAGCUGGCUGCAACUGUUUAUUAAAAACACAGCACUGUGCAAACACGAAAGUGGACGUAUACGGUGUGACGCCUGCCCGGUGCCGGAAGGUUAAUUGAUGGGGUUAGC
rnacentral:rRNA from 1 species